rnacentral:rRNA from 1 species
GACGAACGCUGGCGGCGUGCCUAACACAUGCAAGUCGAGCGGAGAAAUUAAAGCUUGCUUUAAUUUCUUAGCGGCGGACGGGUGAGUAACACGUGGGCAACCUGCCCUUGAGAGGGGGAUAACACAGAGAAAUUUGUGCUAAUACCGCAUAACAUUUAGACUUCGCCUGGAGUUUAAAUCAAAGGAGUAAUCCGCUCAAGGAUGGGCCCGCGGCGCAUUAGCUAGUUGGUGAGGUAAUGGCUCACCAAGGCGACGAUGCGUAGCCGACCUGAGAGGGUGAUCGGCCACAUUGGAACUGAGACACGGUCCAGACUCCUACGGGAGGCAGCAGUGGGGAAUAUUGCGCAACGGGGGAAACCCUGACGCAGCAACGCCGCGUGAGCGAUGAAGGCCUUCGGGUUGUAAAGCUCUGUCUUUGGGGACGAUAAUGACGGUACCCAAGGAGGAAGCCACGGCUAACUACGUGCCAGCCGCCGCAGUAAAAC